GGUGUCGUGAUAGAAUAAUGAACAUUUCCUGUGGGGCUGGCACUGUGUUCUACAUAGAACUCAUUUAAUACAACAACCCUAUAACGAGGAAGCAAGCCAUGUGCAUCAAUUAUCAGGAACGCUUUAAUCCAACUGGGACCCCAAACAAACACCCCGUUUUAAUCCCGGGUGAAGUGAUACAAACAAUUUACAAAGCCUCACGACCCGGCAGCAACCCGAGUCUUACGUGAUCUGGCGAAACUCAUCUGCCUCCUAAGCUCCAACGCCACUGGUUUUCUUUCCAUGUCUCCAGUACUCAGCUCCUUCGGGUCUAUGGCAAUUGUACUUGCUGUUCUCCCUGCCUGGAUUAGUCCUACAGCUUUCCCUGACUGCAUCCUUCUCAUCAUUCAGAUCUCAACGCAAGCAUCACCUCCUUCCUCUGAGGCCUUGGCCUUCAACAUCCCAUUCCCUACCCCACAUCAUUCCAGACUGGAAGCUCUAGAGCUGGCAUUAGAACACUGUCUGGCCCACAAGCCUUCAAUACUUCAACAAAUGCUUGUUGAAUCCAAAAACGCUGAUUACCCUUCAAUCUGCCAGCUCACCCCACUCCCUCUCAAAAUACCUAGGAGAAUUAAUUUAUAAAGAAAACAUAAGCAAGCGACAGCGUAACACAUCGACUCAAAACAAAGCCGGUAAUCCGGGGCUGAACUGGUCAACGGCAUUUAAAGAAGGCCCCAAGAAAACCCUUUCCUGAUCGUGCACACACUUUUAAGAGGCGAAACCAGGGGGACAGGGCGGUCGGCGGCGCAGCGCUGCCUACCUUGAAC